UUUGGCAAGACUCUGUCUCAAAAAAUAAGAAGGGCUAAGGAUGUGGUUCAGUGGUUAGGCACCCCUGACUUUAAUCCCCGAUAUCCUCCCCCUGCCCAAAAAAACACUAGCUACAACACAGAAUGAGUUGGGGAGUGCAGUGGGGCACAUCCUGCUUUGGGGCUAACCACUCCUAACCACCUCUUGCUCUCUAUCCUGGUCUCUGUUGAACUUAGGGUGAGCCACAUAACCCUGGUCUGGCCUAAGAGACACUGAUGGGAAGUCUUUCAAGAGAAUUGGCCUGGCUCUAUCCCCUUCUCCUGCCUGAAAUGUAGAAAUGACUCCUGGGAAUGCAGGGGCCUUCCUGCAACCAAAAGGUGAAAGUUAUAACUGGCAGAGUGAAAAACAGCAGGCCUGCUCUGGGUACUUGGUGACAUUUCCAAAACUUUGAACCCUGCCUGCUACCGGACUUCUCAUUAGGUACGGCAGCUGGGAACAAGGCAGGCAGACACAAGAGAAAUAAAAAUAACAACCACUGCUUUGGUCUGUGCUUCUGUUGCCAUGGUGAUGUUGACAGGUGACACACAGAGCCCAAUUCCUCCUCCUGUUGCUUCUAUGGAAAUAAAAGUUAAUCAUCACCUACACUCUGGAGUCACCAGAAGACACUUAAAUGUGGACUCACUUGUUUCUGUCCCACCACAGCCAGCUGUAGUCCUCUCAGGGUGUCCACCCCUGUUCUCUGCUCUGGUGUUGGCUCUGGGACUAAGUGGCUAGAGUGGGAACAGCCCCUGCCACAGCAAGAAGCCCCUGACCACCAGAAAUGAGAAAGAGGCCUAAUGCCUAACAGGGCAGGGCAGGGCAGGGCAGCCCUGCCAAGCAGGAUGUUGUCCUCCUUCCCAGUGAAGUUAAGCAGACAGAACAGGAAGGUCUGGUUUUAAUGAGGAUGUUUAAAAGCCUUUGCGAAAGCAGACAAAGCCCAAGGCAGUUUGGAAACCCACGCUGAUGGCAACUGGGCUCUCAUGGUUCCAGUAGACCCUGCAAAACAGAAAUGGUUCUGCUAGAUUAGGAGUGUGGCAUUUUCCCACCUCACUUUAAAAACAAAGAAACAAACCAAAAUUGUUUAAAAUUGUUUCAGGAAUUAUCUUGCUUAAAAACUGUUGGCUCACAUCAAUGUUCAUAGCUGCUCAAUUCACAAUAGCCAGACUGUGGAACCAACCUAGAUGUCCUUCAAUAGAUGAAUGGAUAAAGAAACUGUGGUAUAUAUAUACAAUGGACUAUU